rnacentral:rRNA from 1 species
GACGAACGCUGGCGGCGUGCUUAACACAUGCAAGUCGAACGGAAAGGCCCCUUUGGGGGUCCUCGAGUGGCGAACGGGUGAGUAACACGUGAGUAACCUGCCCUUGACUUCGGGAUAACUUCAGGAAACUGGGGCUAAUACCGGAUAGGAAUCCUUGCUGCAUGGUGGGGGUUGCAAAGCUUCGGCGGUUUUGGAUGGACUCGCGGCUUAUCAGCUUGUUGGUGGGGUAGUGGCUUACCAAGGCUUUGACGGGUAGCCGGCCUGAGAGGGCGACCGGCCACAUUGGGACUGAGAUACGGCCCAGACUCCUACGGGAGGCAGCAGUGGGGAAUAUUGCACAAUGGGCGGAAGCCUGAUGCAGCAACGCCGCGUGCGGGAUGACGGCCUUCGGGUUGUAAACCGCUUUCAGCAGGGGCGAAGCUUGUGGUGACGGUACCUGCAGAAGAAGCACCGGCUAACUACGUG